rnacentral:pre_miRNA from 1 species
CUUCAGCAACACUUUCCAUCCACGUGUAUCCUCCUGCUCUGCCAAGUCUAUUCUAUCAGAAUGGACUACGCGGAGCAGGAGGAUACACGUGGAUGGAAAGUGUCGCUCAAGA